CCUACGGGGGGCAGCAGUGGGGAAUAUUGCACAAUGGGGGAAACCCUGAUGCAGCGACGCCGCGUGAGUGAAGAAGUAUUUCGGUAUGUAAAGCUCUAUCAGCAGGGAAGAAAAUGACGGUACCUGAUUAAGAAGCCCCGGCUAACUACGUGCCAGCAGCCGCGGGAAUACGUAGGGGGCAAGCGUUAUCCGGAUUUACUGGGUGUAAAGGGAGCGUAGACGGCAGCGCAAGUCUGAAGUGAAAUGCCGGGGCUUAACCCCGGAACUGCUUUGGAAACUGUGCAGCUAGAGUGCAGGAGAGGUAAGUGGAAUUCCUAGUGUAGCGGUGAAAUGCGUAGAUAUUAGGAGGAACACCAGUGGCGAAGGCGGCUUACUGGACCGUAACUGACGUUGAGGCUCGAAAGCGUGGGGAGCAAACAGGAUUAGAUACCCUAGUAGUC
rnacentral:rRNA from 1 species